GCGGAACAUUUCUAGCUUGCUANAAGGGUCGAGCGGCGGACGGGUGAGUAAUGCUUGGGAAUCUNCCCUAUAGUGGGGGAUAACCUUUGGAAACGAUGANNAAUACCGCANAUAUUCUACGGACCAAAGGGGGGGAUCUUCGGGCCUUGCGCUAUUCGAUUAUCCUGANNGAGAUUAGCUAGUUGGUGUGGUAGUGGCCUACCCGGGUUACCAUCUCUACCUGGUUUGAGAGAAUGAUCAGCCNCACUGGGACUGANACACGGCCCACACUCCUACGGGAGGCAGCGGUGGGGAAUAUUGCACAAUGGGCGAAAGCCUGAUGCACCCAUGCCACGUGUGUGAAGAAGGCCUUCAGGUUGUAAAGCUCUUUCAGCUGUGAGGAAAGGGAAGUAGUUAAUAACUGCUAUCUGUGACGUUACUCACAGAANAAGCACCGGCNAACUU
rnacentral:rRNA from 1 species